AUGGAGACGGCUAUUGGUGCGGCUAGCGGGCUCAUUGGCAGUGUGCUGAAUCACCUGUCCGAUGAGUUCAUCCAGGCAUAUGUUGCCAGCUCUGAGCUCGGCCUCAAUGCCAAAAAGAUCAAAGAUGAUCUCGAGUUCACGCAAGGGCUGCUGCGUGAAGCCCAGAGAAGAGAUGUUAGAGACAACCCCGGCGUGCAGGGGCUUGUGCAACAGCUCAGUGCCAAGGCUGACGUCGCUGAGGAUGCCCUGGAUGAGCUCCACUACUUCAUCAUCCAGGACCAGCUUGAUGGCACCAAGUAUGCCGAGCCGGAUCUGGGUGAUAGCCUCCUCGGUCAUGCUCGCCAUGGUCGCCAUGCUGUUCGCUACACUAUCGGUAACUGGCUUAAUUGCUUUUCUUGUUCGCCUAUGGAAGAUGAUGGUGCUGCUAGUACUGAUGUUACCACAAAAUCACACAACACUGCCAAUCUUGAUAGUAGUGGUGAUGGUUCACUAGAUAAGUUGCCACUCAACAGAGUUGCCAUGUCUAAGAAAAUUAAGUCAGUGAUAGAGGAAAUACACUCCCUAUGUGAUCCCAUAUCCAAGUUGCUCAUGGUAACUCCACACCGAAGCAACAGUGCAAUUGUCAACCUUAAUCGGCCUCGGACGGCGUCAGCAUUGGAACAAGAUGAUAAAUUAUAUGGAAGGAGUGACAUUUUUGAGCAAACUAUAAAAGAUAUCACGAGUGGCACAUAUCACAGUGAUAUACUUUCUGUUCUUCCUAUAGUUGGUCCUGGGGGUAUUGGAAAGACAACUUUCACUCAACACCUGUAUAAUGAUAAAAGAGUUGAAGAACACUUCAUGGUUAGGGUUUGGGUAUGUGUGUCAACUAAUUUUGAUGUGCUUAACCUCAACCAGCAGAUCCAUAGCUGCAUACCUGUAACUGAAAAAGAAGAAACCAACAUUGCCAAUGGAACAACCAAUUUAGACCAGCUUCAGAAAUCCAUUACAAAUAGGUUGAAGUCCAAAAGAUUUUUAAUUGUCUUGGAUGAUAUAUGGAAAUGUGAGAGUGAUGCCGAGUGGAAAACCCUAUUAACACCGUUCACAAAGGGAGAAGCCAAAGGCAGUGUGGUUCUUGUCACAACUCGAUUUCCAAAAAUAGAAGAAAGGGUCAAGAAAGGAACUAGUCCAUUAAACAUGCAAGGUUUGGAUCCACAUGAGUUCUUUGAUUUUUUCCAAGCAUGUGUAUUUGGAGAAAACAAACCCGAUCAACAAUUAAUUGAUAUUGGAAGAGAGAUUGCAGAGAAAUUAAAGUGUUCACCACUAGCAGGCAAAACAGUUGCUCGGUUAUUACAGAAAGAGCUUUCUUUGGAACAUUGGAGGGAAGUUCUUGAAAACAAUGAGUGGAGAAAUCAAACAAACAAUGACCAUAUUAUGCCAGCCCUAAAAAUUAGCUAUGAUUACCUUCCUUUCCACCUCAAAAAAUGUUUUUCAUAUUUUUCCCUUUUUCCGGAAGAUCAUAGGUUUAAAGUUAUAGACAUGAAUCGCUUUUGGACCGCACUAGGCAUCAUAAACGCUAGUUAUAAAAAUAAGAAUUACCUAGAAGAACUAGUGGAGAAUGGUUUUCUUAUGAAGGAAGUUGACGAUUUGAAGGAUCAAUGCUAUGUAAUACAUGAUUUAUUGCACGAACUAUCUCGGAGCGUUUCAUCCCAAGAAUGUACUAAUAUAAGUAGUAUAAGAUUUAGUGCCGAUGAGAUCUCACAGUCAGUUCGACACUUAGCUAUCACGAUAGAAAAUAAAUAUGAUGAGAGCUUUAGGCAAGAAAUGGCUAAAUUGAAGAGCAGGAUACGCAUAAGAGACUUGCGGACUUUGAUGGUUUUUAGAAUAUACGAAGAAAGAAUAGUUGAGAUUCUAAAUGACACAUUCAGUGAAAUAGAGGGUAUUCGAGUCCUAUUUAUAGCCAUGGAGUCCACAGAAUCUUUGCCAAAAACUUUCUCAAAACUUCUGCACCUUCGGUACCUAAAAAUUAGAUCGCGUUAUAAUCGCACAAUAAGUCUACCUAGUACACUGCCAAGGUUUUACCACUUGAUAUUCUUAGAUCUAAAAAAUUGGCAGGGAAGCUCUGAUUUGCCAAAAUACUUUAACCGUCUUGUGAAUUUACGCCAUUUCAUUGCUUUUCCUGAACUCCACUCCAAAGUUCCUGAGGUUGGAAAGAUAGAGCAUCUAGAGGAGCUAUUAUCAUUCAUUGUCAAAAAGGAGAAUAUUGGGUUUGAGCUGGAAGAGUUGGGGAAAUUGAAAGAACUUGGAGGAGAACUCAAGAUAUAUAAUCUUGACAAGGUGGCAACCAAGGAUGAAGCUAAUAAAGCGAAUCUGGCACUGAAAAGGAAUCUGAAAGUAUUGUCACUAGUUUCGGGUCCAGAAGGUUCAAACCAGUUUACCAGGCCGCUUGCCAAUUUAGAUGAUGAUGUUAUUGAUGGUCUCCAACCGCAUGAAAACCUCAGAGAGCUUGCCAUUACAAAACAUGGUGGUUCUAGUCCUCCCAGUUGGUUUUUUCAUGACAUACCCAUUAGAUAUUUGGAGUCUCUUACUCUGAGGGACGUGUCUUGGUGCACUCUUCCACCUUUUCGGCAGUUACCGUAUCUCAAGAUACUAGAAUUGAGUAGAAUUGCCAACGUGCAUCUUAUAGGACCUGAUUCUGGUACCGGUAAAACCCAAAGUUUCAUGCAUUUGAAGGAAGUUGUCAUUUCUGACAUGCCACUUCUUGAAAGGUGGAUUGUGGAACCAAACUGCCAUUUGUUUCCGGUGCUUGAAAGCAUCGAUUGCAGAAAUUGUCCCAAUCUCCUUUCACUGCCCUUUUUCCCAGAGUGCUAUGUCUCUUGUGCACGAGGCAUACAUUGUGCCAGCCUGCAUGCACUAAAGAUUAUUGACUGUCCUAAGCUUUUGGUGUCCCCCAUGCCACCUGCUCCUGCACUAACAUCCAUUGAAUUAGUUGAUACUCAUCGGUCUGUGACAUUGGGAAAGUGGGAAAUGAAGAUGAGUGGCUACAGUGGUGCACUAGCCUUCCAGAAUAUGGUAAAUUUACAUAGGUUAUUGUGUGAAGGUGGGUCAAUAACCUUAUGGUCAUACCUCCAAAAGGUAACCUCCCCCAUGGAGCUUACUAUUCCUGAAGGCUCGGGCAUAAAGUUUGUGUGUUUCGCCGGCUGCAAGAUUUUAACAGUGGGUGGGGUCAGUUCUCUCAUCACAUCUGUCAGCCUAAAGAGGUUGUGGGCCAAUGGUGGUGGGGAUCCUCCCAACUCUGCAACCAUGAAUCUGCUCUCAGAGGUGGCAAGAAGAACCAAAGAAUUGCCUGCCGGAUCCUUCCAAUUGGAGGAACUCGGUGUGGAUAGCAUCUCAGCGGUGCUUGUCGCUCCCGUAUGCAGUCACCUCGCUGCUACCCUCCACGAAUUAAACAUCCGGCAUGAGCAUCGGAUGAAAGGCUUGACAGAAGAGGAAGAGAAAGCACUUCAGCUCCUCACCUCCCUCCAAACCCUAAGAUUUCAGUACUGUCCAUUUCUGCCGUGCCUCCCUCAAGGGUUACACACCCUUUCUUCUCUCAGGGUACUACAAGUAGUACUUUGCCCUAAGAUCCGCUCGCUGCCUAUGGGGGGCCUCCCCACUUCACUACAGAAUAUAUGGGUAACCGACUGCAGCGCCAAGCUACACGAGCAAGUCAAGAAAUUAGAGGGAAUGAACCCAGGAUUGUCGGUGUCAUCCUAUGAAUCAUCGAUUGAGGAGGCACAACUACGCCGAAAUUGGUACCCCGUCGAACCAAUGUGA
rnacentral:rRNA from 1 species